CAUAUACACAUCCUUGAUGACUGGUAUGAAGUGGUUUAAUCGAGGAACAGACAGUUUUUUCCCAUUAGUUAUCAGAACAGAAAAUACAGGCGACAA